GACGAACGCUGGCGGCGUUCUUAACACAUGCAAGUCGAACGAAGUGGCGAACGGGUGAGUAACGCGUAAUCAACCUGCCCUUCAGAGGGGGAUAACAGUUGGACACGACUGCUAAUACCGCAUACUGAAGGAGGGGAUUGCGUCUGAUUAGCUAGUUGGCGGGGUAACGGCCCACCAAGGCGAUGAUCAGUAACUGGUCUGAGAGGAGGAUCAGUCACACUGGAACUGAGACACGGUCCAGACUCCUACGGGAGGCAGCAGUGGGGAAUAUUGGACAAUGGGCGAAAGCCUGAUCCAGCCAUGCCGCGUGUGUGAAGAAGGUCUUCGGAUUGUAAAGCACUUUAAGUUGGGAGGCGUUACCAACAGAAUAAGCACCGGCUAACUUCGUGCCAGCAGCCGCGGUAAUUC
rnacentral:rRNA from 1 species